rnacentral:rRNA from 1 species
UACGAAGGGGGCUAGCGUUGCUCGGAAUUACUGGGCGUAAAGGGCGCGUAGGCGGAUGUUUAAGUCGGGGGUGAAAGCCCGGGGCUCAACCUCGGAAUUGCCUUCGAUACUGGACAUCUUGAGUGCGGGAGAGGUGAGUGGAACUCCGAGUGUAGAGGUGAAAUUCGUAGAUAUUCGGAAGAACACCAGUGGCGAAGGCGACUCACUGGCCCGUUACUGACGCUGAAGCUCGAAAGCUAGGGGAGCAAACGGG